rnacentral:telomerase_RNA from 1 species
AUUUCCAACUUAUGCAAGAGGAUGUUUCCUCGAGCUAACCCUAACCCUAUACAUACACAAUCUGUGUGCAUCCAUUGCAUCUUGUGGUUCUUUGCAGGCCAGUUUUUCCACUAGGGAUGCACAGCAAUUAAAAGAAACUGACCUGUUGGAAAUCCUAACGAUCCUAUUUGAGCUCAAGUUAACAUCUUUAACUUUUCACUAGACAUGCAAGGGUUCGUCCCUGCAUUGUAUUGUGGUUGAGCAAGAAUUGCGUCGAAUAUCAAUUGUUACUAACACCUUAACAGAGCAUGUCCUUGCGAUUAAGGUUCUUUCUUAACUAGAAUUGGGCCCAAGCAAGUUUGCUACAAAU